rnacentral:rRNA from 1 species
CCUACGGGUGGCAGCAGUGAGGAAUAUUGGUCAAUGGACGAGAGUCUGAACCAGCCAAGUAGCGUGAAGGAUGACUGCCCUAUGGGUUGUAAACUUCUUUUAUAUGGGAAUAAAAUGUUCCACGUGUGGGCUUUUGUAUGUACCAUAUGAAUAAGGAUCGGCUAACUCCGUGCCAGCAGCCGCGGUAAUACGGAGGAUCCGAGCGUUAUCCGGAUUUAUUGGGUUUAAAGGGAGCGUAGGUGGAUUGUUAAGUCAGGUGUGAAAGUUUGCGGCUCAACCGUAAAAUUGCAGUUGAAACUGGCAGUCUUGAGUACAGUAGAGGUAGGCGGAAUUCGUGGUGUAGCGGUGAAAUGCUUAGAUAUCACGAAGAACUCCGAUUGCGAAGGCAGCUCACUGGACUGCAACUGACACUGAGGCUCGAAAGUGUGGGUAUCAAACAGGAUUAGAUACCCCAGUAGUC